AGGGUUCCUCUGCAGUAGCAAGUUAUGAAUGGACGAUACCGGGACCUUGGAAGUUUAUGUCCUCAUCUCACAUUUACUUGAACAUGAGUAGUGCGAAAUUUCCCAAUAUAAGUUGCAUUAAAGCAGAAACAACCAAGAAAAAUGUUACCAGGCGGACCUUGUCACAUCAUGUGUUGGUGCAUAUGCAGCUUGGUGCUAAAUGGAUCUGGUAUAGCAUGAAUGCUACUUACUAUCCAACUGUUAUGAUCGGGGAACGUGUCAAAACAUUCAGGUCUGUUGACGAGGUAUCAGGCGAUAUCACUAACUACACGUUUAUUCAUACAACCCUAGAAUGCGCUAUUGUCCAAAAAAAUAAAAGAAAGCGACAGGAGGGCAUGGAAACAAGCCUCGAACUGUGGGUGAACGACAAGUUCAGAACCAACACAACAUUCUGUGCAAAGCAAUUCAAGAAAAUAUGCAACAACGCAACAACAUUCGAUAUGAAUGAUUGUAUUGGACCUAAAUAAUGCUCGUCAUACUAUCAAUUUAAGGCCACGCCUAAAUUUGUGUUAUUGUAUGCUUAAAUUUUCUGUUUUCGCGUACACUGUGACGAAAGGCACCCUAAAAAUAAAAUUUAUUGUUGCCCAUACAUACAGUUGAAAGCAUAAGCCAUAAGGAGACAUGAAACGACGAUAUGAAUUUCUAGGUCAAACCAGUAUUUCACGCAUAAACUUUUUGAAUGAGUCAAUGUACAAUAAAUCAUUUCCAGCAGACAUAAA